rnacentral:rRNA from 1 species
UACGUAGGGUGCAAGCGUUAUUCGGAAUUAUUGGGCGUAAAGGGCGCGUAGGCGGCUUUGCAAGUGACGGGUGAAAGCCCUCGGCUUAACCGAGGAACUGCCUUUGAUACUGAGGAUCUUGAGUUCGGGAGAGGUGAGUGGAACUGCGAGUGUAGAGGUGAAAUUCGUAGAUAUUCGCAAGAACACCAGUGGCGAAGGCGGCUCACUGGCCCGAUACUGACGCUGAGGCACGAAAGCGUGGGGAGCAAACAGG